rnacentral:rRNA from 1 species
GAUGAACGCUAGCUACAGGCUUAACACAUGCAAGUCGCGGGGCAGCAUGGGGGUUGCUUGCCAUCCCCGAUGGCGACCGGCGCACGGGUGAGUAACGCGUAUCCAACCUGCCCUUCACCACGGGAUAACCCGGCGAAAGUCGGACUAAUACCGUAUGUUGUCCAUUGACGGCAUCCGAUUUGGACGAAAGGCUUGGCGGUGAGGGAUGGGGAUACGUCCGAUUAGCCAGACGGCGGGGUAACGGCCCACCGUGGCUACGAUCGGUAGGGGUUCUGAGAGGAAGGUCCCCCACACUGGAACUGAGACACGGUCCAGACUCCUACGGGAGGCAGCAGUGAGGAAUAUUGGUCAAUGGGCGUAAGCCUGAACCAGCCAAGUAGCGUGCAGGAUGACGGCCCUAUGGGUUGCAAACUGCUUUUAUGCGGGGAUAAAGUGGCCCACGUGUGGGCUUUUGCAGGUACCGCAUGAAUAAGGACCGGCUAAUUCCGUG